AGAAUCAACGCUGGCGGCGUGCCUCAGACAUGCAAGUCGAACGCGAAAGUCUCCUUCGGGGGACAAGUAGAGUGGCGCACGGGUGAGUAACACGUAGGUAAUCUACCUUUGGAUGGGGAAUAACAACCGGAAACGGUUGCUAAUACCGCGUAAUGCAGCGGCACCUAAUGGUGACAGUUGUUAAAGCGGGGGAUCGAAAGACCUCGCGUCUGAAGAGGAGCCUGCGGCGGAUUAGCUAGUUGGUAAGGUAAUGGCUUACCAAGGCUACG
rnacentral:rRNA from 1 species